rnacentral:rRNA from 1 species
UGGGGAAUCUUCCGCAAUGGGCGCAAGCCUGACGGAGCAACGCCGCGUGAGUGAAGAAGGUCUUCGGAUCGUAAAGCUCUGUUGAUGGGGACGAACGUGCCUAAUGCGAAUAGUAUUAGGUAAUGACGGUACCCAUCGAGGAAGCCACGGCUAACUACGUGCCAGCAGCCGCGGUAAUACGUAGGUGGCGAGCGUUGUCCGGAAUCAUUGGGCGUAAAGGGAGCGCAGGCGGGCAUGUAAGUCUUUCUUAAAAGUGCGGGGCUCAACCCCGUGAUGGGAAAGAAACUAUGUGUCUUGAGUACAGGAGAGGAAAGCGGAAUUCCCAGUGUAGCGGUGAAAUGCGUAGAUAUUGGGAGGAACACCAGUGGCGAAGGCGGCUUUCUGGACUGCAACUGACGCUGAGGCUCGAAAGCCAGGGGGGCGAACGGG